rnacentral:tRNA from 1 species
GCCGAGGUGGUGAAAUUGGUAAACACGAUGGAUUCAAAAUCCAUUGCUCGCAAGAGCUUGUGGGUUCGAGUCCCACCCUCGGCACUA